GAGCAAAGAGGGGUAUGGUAUAGUGGAGAUUCUUUGCAUUGAAGGUUGGCGAUAACAAUAUGCAGUUCUCCGUGCCACACAGAUUUUCUCUGUUGUGACGGAUUCAAACAAUCUUUGCCACAUC